UGGGGAAUAUUGCACAAUGGGCGCAAGCCUGAUGCAGCCAUGCCGCGUGUAUGAAGAAGGCCUUCGGGUUGUAAAGUACUUUCAGUCGGGAGGAAGGUGGUAAGGUUAAUAACCUUGGCAAUUGACGUUACCGACAGAAGAAGCACCGGCUAACUCCGUGCCAGCAGCCGCGGUAAUACGGAGGGUGCAAGCGUUAAUCGGAAUUACUGGGCGUAAAGCGCACGCAGGCGGUUGAUUGAGUCAGAUGUGAAAUCCCCGGGCUUAACCCGGGAAUUGCAUCUGAUACUGGUCAGCUAGAGUCUUGUAGAGGGGGGUAGAAUUCCAUGUGUAGCGGUGAAAUGCGUAGAGAUGUGGAGGAAUACCGGUGGCGAAGGCGGCCCCCUGGACAAAGACUGACGCUCAGGUGCGAAAGCGUGGGAAGCAAACAGG
rnacentral:rRNA from 1 species